ACGGGUGAGUAACGCGUAGGUAACCUGCCUGGUAGCGGGGGAUAACUAUUGGAAACGAUAGCUAAUACCGCAUAAUAGCAGUUGUUGCAUGACAGCUGUUUGAAAGGUGCAAUUGCACCACUACCAGAUGGACCUGCGUUGUAUUAGCUAGUUGGUGGGGUAACGGCUCACCAAGGCGACGAUACAUAGCCGACCUGAGAGGGUGAUCGGCCACACUGGGACUGAGACACGGCCCAGACUCCUACGGGAGGCAGCAGUAGGGAAUCUUCGGCAAUGGACGAAAGUCCGACCGAGCAACGCCGCGUGAGUGAAGAAGGAUUUCGGUUCGUAAAACUCUGUUGUUAGAGAAGAACAGCGCAUAGAGUAACUGUUAUGCGUGUGACGGUAUCUAACCAGAAAGCCACGGCUAACUACGUGCCAGCAGCCGCGGUAAUACGUAGGUGGCAAGCGUUGUCCGGAUUUAUUGGGCGUAAAGCGAGCGCAGGCGGUCAAUUAAGUCUGAUGUGAAAGCCCCCGGCUCAACCGGGGAGGGUCAUUGGAAACUGGUUGACUUGAGUGCAGAAGAGGAGAGUGGAAUUCCAUGUGUAGCGGUGAAAUGCGUAGAUAUAUGGAGGAACACCAGUGGCGAAGGCGACUCUCUGGUCUGUAACUGACGCUGAGGCUCGAAAGCGUGGGGUAGCAAACAGGAUUAGAUACCCUGGUAGUCCACGCCGUAAAC
rnacentral:rRNA from 1 species